rnacentral:rRNA from 2 species
CUUGAUGUGUAGGAUAGGUGGGAGGCUUUGAAGCGUGGACGCCAGUCUGCGUGGAGCCGACCUUGAAAUACCACCCUUUAAUGUUUGAUGUUCUAACGUGGAUCCGUAAUCCGGGUUGCGGACAGUGUCUGGUGGGUAGUUUGACUGGGGCGGUCUCCUCCUAAAGAGUAACGGAGGAGCACGAAGGUUGGCUAAUCCUGGUCGGACAUCAGGAGGUUAGUGCAAUGGCAUAAGCCAGCUUGACUGCGAGCGUGACGGCGCGAGCAGGUGCGAAAGCAGGUCAUAGUGAUCCGGUGGUUCUGAAUGGAAGGGCCAUCGCUCAACGGAUAAAAGGUACUCCGGGGAUAACAGGCUGAUACCGCCCAAGAGUUCAUAUCGACGGCGGUGUUUGGCACCUCGAUGUCGGCUCAUCACAUCCUGGGGCUGAAGUAGGUCCCAAGGGUAUGGCUGUUCGCCAUUUAAAGUGGUACGCGAGCUGGGUUUAGAACGUCGUGAGACAGUUCGGUCCCUAUCUGCCGUGGGCGCUGGAGAACUGAGGGGGGCUGCUCCUAGUACGAGAGGACCGGAGUGGACGCAUCACUGGUGUUCGGGUUGUCAUGCCAAUGGCACUGCCCGGUAGCUAAAUGCGGAAGAGAUAAGUGCUGAAAGCAUCUAAGCACGAAACUUGCCCCGA